AAGAGUGGAGAGGGUCUUUUUUUCCUUUGCCCUUCACCUUUCACUCCACGGAAUCAAAAGCCAAGUGCUAAGUUCCGUGUCCCUAUUCACAAAUAUGUAGUACCAAACCCAAGGUGUGAUCCAAGUUUAAUAUUAUAUAAUAGUAUUAGUCACAUAACAAUAGUGAUAUUCUUGUGAUUGUGUGCAAGUGUGUGUGUGUGAUUUUCGUGACCCUUUUUUAAUGAUAUAGUUGUACGGAGUUUAUGUAUCUUGGUUGAUUCAAUUCGUCGACAAGAAACCUUGGUUUGAUAUUUGAUUGGUCCUUCCGAGAGUUUUCCUUUGGUGUGGUUGGUUGGAACUUGGUGCUGUUUUUCAGAGCUGUUGCUGAUUGUGCAAAGUUUGGACUUUGGAAUUUUGAUUGUGUUGUUGUUGGGAAUAAUAAUGGCUAAUGAAGGAAACAAAAGCAAUGAUUUCUAUGCGAUCCUGGGCUUGAAUAAGGAGUGUACUGAAUCAGAGCUAAGGAAUGCUUAUAAGAAACUUGCACUGAAAUGGCACCCAGAUCGUUGUUCAGCAUCCGGGAAUUCAAAGUUCGUGGAAGAAGCUAAGAAAAAAUUUCAGGCAAUUCAGCAAGCCUAUUCUGUUUUAUCUGAUGCCAACAAAAGGUUAAUGUACGACGUAGGAGUCUACGACAGUGAUGACGACGAAAAUGGCAUGGGGGAUUUCUUGAAUGAAAUGGUGACAAUGAUGAGUAAGACUAAAACAAAUGAAAAUGGAGAGGAGAGCUUUGAGGAAUUGCAACAGUUGUUUGAAGACAUGUUUCAAGCGGAUAAUCGAUUCGAUGAAAGCCCCUCUCUUGCAGCUACUGGUUGCUCUACUUCAUCUGCCUACAUGACAUAUAGUGAAAGUUCUAAUUCAAAUAAACGCAAUUCCACUGAGAUGAAUUUUGGGAAGGCAGAGGGUUCUUCUCACUUUGAUGCCAGUUACCAGAAUUUCUGUUUUGGGGCCUAUGUUGAAUAUAGCAAAAUCAGUUUUGGAAACCAGAAGGGUAGGUUUACCAUGUAUGAGUUACGAAAAUGAUAAAAAAGGAUUUGCAUGAUCUUUUUCCGGGUAUGCAGCUUUAUGCCAAGAUAAAUAGGUAAUUGAUUGAGGGAAAAGGUAGUUUAUUCUUGUCGAAUCUUUCAGAAGAGUCUUUUAAUCAGUGUUGUCUUUUCUGUUGUUCAUGUCCUCAAGGUUGGUCAUGUAAAUUAUCAUUACCAAUGAGUGAGGAUUCAAUACAGUGGAGUAUGUGCAAGUGGUGAAGCACCACCUCCAAGAUAUCAACAAAAGAAGGGGGGUAAUUCCAGAAGGAGGAGGUAGCAAUAGACAGAGAAAUGGU